GACGAACGCUGGCGGCGUGCUUAACACAUGCAAGUCGAACGAGUGGCGAACGGGUGAGUAACACGUGGGUGAUCUGCCCUGCACUCUGGGAUAAGCUUGGGAAACUGGGUCUAACACCGGACAGUGCAAGAUGAGCCCGCGGCCUAUCAGCUUGUUGGUGGGGUAAUGGCUACCAAAGCGCGACGGGUAGCCGGCCUGGGAGGGUGUACGGCCACAUUGCGACUGUGUCACGGCCCAGACUCCUACGGGAGGAAGCAGUGGGGAAUAUUGCACAAUGGGCGCAAGCCGGAUGCGGCCAUGCCGCAUGUAUGAAGAAAGCCUUCGGGUUGUAAAGUACUUUCAGCGAAGAGGACUUACUCGCAGAAGAAGCACCGGCUAACUCCGUGCCAACAACCGCGGUAAUUC
rnacentral:rRNA from 1 species